AUUGAACGCUGGCGGCGUGCCUAACACAUGCAAGUCGAACGGCAGCAUGAUAAGAGCUUGCUCUUAUUGAUGGCGAGUGGCGGACGGGUGAGUAAUAUGUAGGAAUCUACCUAGAGGUGCGGGAUAACUUGGGGAAACUCAAACUAAUACCACAUAAGCCCCACGGGGGAAAGCAGGGGAUCUUAGGACCUUGCGCCUUAUGAUGAGCCUACAUCGGAUUAGCUAGUUGGUGGGGUAAAGGCCUACCAAGGCGACGAUCCGUAGCUGGUCUGAGAGGAUGAUCAGCCACACUGGGACUGAGACACGGCCCAGACUCCUACGGGAGGCAGCAGUGGGGAAUAUUGGACAAUGGGCGCAAGCCUGAUCCAGCGAUGCCGCGUGUGUGAAGAAGGCCUUAGGGUUGUAAAGCACUUUCAGUGGGGAGAAAGUUACGGGUGUUAAUACCAUUCGUAAUUGAUGUUACCCACAGAAGAAGCACCGGCUAACUCUGUGCCAGCAGCCGCAGUAAUAC
rnacentral:rRNA from 1 species